rnacentral:rRNA from 1 species
UGCAGUCGAACGAUGAUGCCGAGCUUGCUCCUGGAUUAGUGGCGAACGGGUGAGUAACACGUGAGUAACCUGCCCUUAACUCUGGGAUAAGCCUGGGAAACUGGGUCUAAUACCGGAUAUGACUCCUCAUCGCAUGGUGGGGGGUGGAAAGCUUUUUGUGGUUUUGGAUGGACUCGCGGCCUAUCAGCUUGUUGGUGAGGUAAUGGCUUACCAAGGCGACGACGGGUAGCCGGCCUGAGAGGGUGACCGGCCACACUGGGACUGAGACACGGCCCAGACUCCUACGGGAGGCAGCAGUGGGGAAUAUUGCACAAUGGGCGCAAGCCUGAUGCAGCGACGCCGCGUGAGGGAUGACGGCCUUCGGGUUGUAAACCUCUUUCAGUAGGGAAGAAGCGAAAGUGACGGUACCUGCAGAAGAAGCGCCGGCUAACUACGUGCCAGCAGCCGCGGUAAUACGUAGGGCGCAAGCGUUAUCCGGAAUUAUUGGGCGUAAAGAGCUCGUAGGCGGUUUGUCGCGUCUGCCGUGAAAGUCCGGGGCUCAACUCCGGAUCUGCGGUGGGUACGGGCAGACUAGAGUGAUGUAGGGGAGACUGGAAUUCCUGGUGUAGCGGUGAAAUGCGCAGAUAUCAGGAGGAACACCGAUGGCGAAGGCAGGUCUCUGGGCAUUAACUGACGCUGAGGAGCGAAAGCAUGGGGAGCGAACAGG